UUACUUAUAUUAUUACUCAGGGAAAUGCACAGUCUGAUGUACAGUGUAAUGACAGACAUCCUUUGAGUUGUCAGAAUAAAAAUACUACCUAGGUUAAAUGUGGAGAAACCGAGCUCUCAUGCAGGGAAGUUGGGAGUAUAAAUUGGUACAAAAACCUUGAAGAGCGGUUAGGCAGUGUCUGUUAAUUGUACGGGUUGGUUUGUUUGUUUGUUUAUUAAACAUCUUGUCUUUAAUAAACUGCACUUUUAUCAGUUCCUUAAGGAGACUCCUUUAUAUGUCCUUUACAUAUCUAUCUGGGAGAUGGCUAUGAGGAUGUUCACUGCACCAUUAUUUAUAAUAAUAAACUAUUGGGAACAGCGUAAAUGGCCAUUAAUGGGGAGAUGGAAAUUCUGGUCUCUUCAUAUAAUAGAGUAUUAUGUGACAAUGAAAAGGAAUACAUUUGAUCGGGUACGCUGGAUUCAACAUAUACUCAGCCGUGAAAUUGUGAUUUUCA